AGAGCUAGUUUUAUCUUGAUUAGUUCUUCUUGUUGUUGUUGGAUCAUUAUGUGAUUAACCAUUAUGUGCGGUCACAAAUCUGCCAUAUAUUUAGUGUUCUAGAGAUUACAAAGGUCCAGUUGCUGAAGACAUGUUUCAUUGGCAAGCUACAAUAAUGGGUCCUGCAGAGAGUCCGUAUUCAGGGGGUGUGUUUCUCGUUACCAUUCACUUCCCUCCCGAUUAUCCUUUCAAACCACCAAACUGUAGUAAAGUUAGCUUUUGAAAUGCCUCAAGGAAUCAAUGGCCUUAGAUCAAAGUUCAUAGUAAAGUCCUGCAGUAGAUGAUGACGGAGAUUGUUUUUCUCCCUUGGCGCUGAAUGCGACCUCCGUAAACGUUGAAGUCUAUUAUAACAAAGCUGUGAACUAUACAUUGAUGGUCACUUUUGUCUCGUUCCUACAGGUUCUUUUGUUGAUCCGACAAAUGGAGCACAGUAACACACAAUCCGGUGCUGCAAAGGUCUCUAUAGUAAUGAUCGGGUAACAAGCCAUCAUGGAUUCUUAUUUAUGCCUUUUACAUCUCACAGCUGGGAUUUUAGUUGGUAUGUAUUUUAUAAAAUAAUCUCACACUUGUGUUUCCUCUUUGUUUAGAUGGUAAUCUUAUGUUAUAACAAUGUUAAUGUUAAUUUUUGUAACUUUUAAAAUAUUAUUAUUUUAUUUGGGGGACCAAAUACAAAUAGACACCAAUGUUCAUACUAAAAAUAAGAACCUUUCAAAAUAAUACUUUUAAAUUUGGGGGACCAAAAAUUGUCCCUAACCAAUGCCC